AUUGAACGCUGGCGGCAGGCCUAACACAUGCCAGUCGAGCGGAUGAAGGGAGCUUGCUCCUGGAUUCAGCGGCGGACGGGUGAGUAAUGCCUAGGAAUCUGCCUGGUAGUGGGGGAUAACGUCCGGAAACGGGCGCUAAUACCGCAUACGUCCUGAGGGAGAAAGUAGGGGAUCUUCGGACCUCACGCUAUCAGAUGAGCCUAGGUCGGAUUAGCUAGUUGGUGGGGUAAAGGCCUACCAAGGCGACGAUCCGUAACUGGUCUGAGAGGAUGAUCAGUCACACUGGAACUGAGACACGGUCCAGACUCCUACGGGAGGCAGCAGUGGGGAAUAUUGGACAAUGGGCGAAAGCCUGAUCCAGCCAUGCCGCGUGUGUGAAGAAGGUCUUCGGAUUGUAAAGCACUUUAAGUUGGGAGGAAGGGCAGUAAGUUAAUACCUUGCUGUUUUGACGUUACCAACAGAAUAAGCACCGGCUAACUUCGUG
rnacentral:rRNA from 1 species